rnacentral:lncRNA from 1 species
UUCAUUUGACCAGGCAGAGUUCCAUACGAUUUCCCUUAUAAAAUAUAGGACGGAGCUCCCAAGAGCUUAAAGAAAUCAAGAAAACUUCAACUCAGACAUAAAACAACUACCAAAUAAGAGGUAAAUGUACAAAGGGACAUUAGACAACAUGCAAGUGUUUUCCCCAGGUUUAGCAAAAAUGAUAUUAGUAGUCGCCAACAAUGAUGUCUUCUAUGCAUGAAGUUUUGAAACUUUCAAUAAAGCUUAUGUUUCGAAAGAGGAGUUUCAGCUUUUCUGGAGCCGGAGUAUGGUUCUGGCCUGAGUGUGGAGUUACAACUUCAUCUGGAGAUGGAGUAGAAUCUCGUUUCUAGCCAGGAGUUCUAAUUUAACCUAAGGCAGAACCGCAAUCCUUGUUCCACUCUACAGUGCUUGGGGAUAAAAGCUUUGGUUUCAUUUGCUGAAGCUAUUGCCAGUAUGACAGUAGUUGGGCUGCUCAUGACACAAAAUCACGAGGUACAAGGACAAAACAUACGCAAUAUUAGGUUCAACAUAGAGAAGUACGGAUAGUGCACAUUGCAACAAAACACAAAAACCAAACCAAGAAUGCGCAAAAUCAAAGCUUCAAAGUAGAGAUUGUAAUAAAAGUUUCAGGCAUCUACAAAUACUAUGAUAAAAGCAAAUUUUCACCUACUGUAAAUGAUCCCAUGAAACAAGGUACACCACCAACCAAAAGGACAUUCACUUGCACCAUUCUUAAUCAGAAAGUGCACUUAUUUAGAUGGAAAGAUCUCUUUACGACAAUUCUUUACCCAUUUAUCUCAGUUUUAGAGCGCUAGGGCACGUUUAUCAUAAGGAUAUGGUCUAGCCUUCGAUGAUAAAAUGCAUGUAUUCAAGAGUAAAUGCCUGCUAGAGUAAUUCUGGUACCCACACAAAAAGAAGACAAAAAUGGAAAGACUUCCAUCGGUCGCUCUACAUGCAAGAAAGCAAUAAUAUAUUGAGAAUAAAAUAUGAAACAUUAAAAUCAACUGUUCACUUUAGUUUUUAAACUGCUCAUUAGAUAUUGAUUCUGUAGAUCAAAGCCUAAAGUUUUCCCUGUAACCAGGAAAUUGCACGCACGAAUAAAGUAAAUGAUCAGCAUGUCCAUUAGAACCUUGUAUUAUAAAUGCGAACACUUAAAAAAUAUCAAAUCCAUCACCUUCUUGAGGUGUGAUUGGCUUAUUUGGAUCAACUGGCACCAGAAGCUCAUCCCAUUGAAGUGUAUUUAUCACAUGAAGUUUUUGUUCAUGAUUUUUUACAAUCAUACUGUCAUUAUUCGUUGGAAAAUCAUUGAAAAACAAGUACUUCAACAAACCAUAUUCAAAGCAGAAAUCAUGUCAAAGACCUCAAGGUUCUGCAUACAAAAAUAUACUUUAUUUGAUUUGGAAACUCAACGGCACAUUGUGUAAGAAAACGGUUUUAUACAUGGACCAAAUAUUUUUGUUUGAAUAGUAAAAGAUGAUAUCAUUUUCUAUAUUUUAACUUCACCUGAUUGUGGUUUGCUGUAAUAUUCCCAGAGAAUCAAAUUCUUCUGAAGGCCAAGAAGCAGAUGGGUCAGAGACAACUGACGAUGGCUAGAGAAUCCAACAACUGCAUGAUGAUUAAAUCACAAACAAUUUCAUACAGAUAUAGAAAUAUUUGUGAACGAGAGUGAAAUAUAUACAAUGCUCAAAAACCAAGGGUCCUAAUCAUUUAUUACAACCUUGAGGUAUUCACAUACAAACUAUGGCCUCGGCUUUGCCAAAGAAAGGAAAAAAAUUUCAGUGUAGCUGAUCUCAGUAUCUACUAAAUAUUUGUCCCACACAUACAAACAAUUAUUAUGAAAAGGCGAUAAGUUGACCCAUGUACGACUCUAAACAAUUUUCAUUUAUAAUAUGUAGAGACUUCAAGAUGAAGCAAUCAGCAAGAAAAAGUACAUGUGGAAAAUGCAUGUGGCCUGUUAUUGCCUUUUCACACUAUAUGACCAUGCAUCUUUAGAGCUAAUAUCUAGAGAAUUUAAUUGUUGAAACCGAAUGAAUGAAUUUUAGUGAGCAUACAAAUUCUUUCCUCCCAUGCACAAGCAUAUCUAUGCUGUACAAUAGUUACCCAAUUAUUCAUGUAUUAUUCUCUACAAAUUUGUUCUUACAACCAUAAUAGGAUCACCAAUUCAUAAAGAUUUGUUGUCUUUUCAAAAUCAUUAAUCCAUAUAUCAGCAUGGUAACAUAUAUGAAGAUUAUAAUACACAAAGAAUUAAACUGCAAUUCGUAACAAGCAAAUCUCGAGUUUCAUGAUAGUGAACAAGAACAAUAUGCUAGAGUGACUAGCAAAAAAAUCACUCACGACAGUUAAAGUUUUAUAUGAUAAGGCUUCUCAUGUUUGGUAAUAGUGCAAAAAGUUGUUUGCAAUGGUUACUGUAGAAGCAAAAAACAAAAAGAUCAGGCCAAGAUAUAUUUCACAAGGUUUAAAAUUCCAUACUUGUCAAGUAGCUAGUAACAUCUGCGAACAAAAGUAAGUUAUCUUCUCCAUGUGCAUAGUAUACAUGAAUCCUUUCGUUGUUACAAACCUGUAUGAAAAUCAAAAUUAAUGGUAAUUUGUACUACAGAUCCAGUUGAUGAAAAUUCCCAAAAAUCAACUAGCGUGAAGUCAGUUCAGUGGGGGAAAGAAUGGCAUGAGUUUCAUGUCUUAGCAAUGUAAGCAGAUGCAUCAAAGACAAAAGUAGAGAAUACAAAACACAACUGAGUGAAAACUCACAAGGAAGACAAAAUAAAUAAUCCCUUAUCUGAACAUCUUGCGAGACCCUGCCAUCAAUGAAAAAAAUGUAAAGUGAAGUCCAGCAGUGGACAUUGGAUUUAAUGAAUUCAUAAUUACCAUGGACAAAAAAUAAAAUUAAUAAUCGCAAAUGGAAGCUACGGAAAAUAAUAAUAAUAAUAAUAAUAAUAAUAAUAAUAAUAAUAAUAAUAAUAAUAAUAAUAAUAAUAAAAUUGAUCAGUCAUUCGAGUCUUUGAAAUAUUAUAAACACUCAGGGAUAAAUCUGCUCUUUUCUUUUUCUUUUCUUUUUUUCCAUUUGAAUAAAUCUAUCUCUUGGAAUGCUAUGACACUAUUUUUCCAUAAAAGAUCUCCCAUAAAAAUUAAUAAUAAUAGUAUCAGUGAAACUGAAUAAAAACAAGGUAAUUGACAAGGUUUAAAGUUUAAACAGACAAUAAGGACGUUAUUUCUAAACCAUAGGGCACCAAUUAGGAAUGCAAAAUAUGGGUGGUAAAUUGAAAUGAAAUAUGUUAUUUACAUCUAAUAGUACACAAUAAUUGAUGAAAUAGAAUAUUACUUGCAUGUAAUCCUAAUGGUUAAUUUGUUGUAUAUUUCUCAUCAAAUCCUUGAUAUAUAAAUGGGGAAUGCUAUAUCUUCAAAUCUAGCAAAAAAUUCUAAAUACUAGCAAACAAAACUUCUUGUGCAGCUGCCUUCAGUGUCAUAAGCUAACGCAAUACACAAACAUGAAUCGUAGACUCCAGCAUACAGUAUUUCUUUGUUUCCAAAGAGAAAAACAAACAAGGAGAAGGUAGCCAACAUUAACAGGGAAAUGGUUAAAAAAGAGCAGCAGUUAAAAUUACUGUCAGCAAAUUUGGGUGCAGCAGAAGCUUCACCACUUCAAGAAUAGAAAAAAUCCGCUGCUAAGAACGCAAUAGACGACAUUACAACUUGUCUUCGAUCAAUUAGUGGGCUAUGCUCCAAACUUUCACCUCCCU